rnacentral:lncRNA from 1 species
UUUCCAUUCUCAGAAUUAUGGCCCUCCUGUGAUAUGGUCUACAGAGCUGGGUGUGUAAGAAAGAGCCAGCCUCCCUAAAGAAUCUGUUUAGUGAAUUGGACUAACUUAGUCUACCAGAGGGAAUUCUAUGGCACCAGCUGAUGCCAACCAUAUAAUCGCCUUCAACAAUAACUCUUCUGGGCUCAUCGUUCAAUUUCAUCGUACCUUGCAAGGGGCCCACAUCUCGGCCUUAUUAACUAUAUUGGUCAUUGCUAGAUCUGAGUAGACAAAAAUCAUCAUAUUAACAGAGAAAUCCUCUAAUAGCUGCCUUUCCUGGAUUUGACCUCAUGAUUGCAUCAAAGUUAAAUUAAAACCAAUCCGAAUCCGAUUGGGGUGGAUGCCACACACUAGACUUGAUAACCCAUUUAUAGUUUAGACGAGCUACCGGCUGCAUAUCAGCCAGAAGAAUCUUCUUUAUAAACUCCGAGAAUCCCUUCAGUACUGAGGUUCUGUAAUUCCGUUCUUUCCAUACGGUCCAUAGGCUUGCUGCUAGGUAAUCUCUAUUUUCGGGGGAGGGGGACUGCUCCAUUGUUGCAAACGGUGAGAGCCUGUCAGGGAAGGCAGAGCUAACACCAAAAAUAAUGAAGGUGAUGACACUCACUCUAUCAUGGUCCAUCCUUCCAUUGAUUGAAUGGCUACGACACUUGAUAACUAUCGAGUUUCUAAUGUUAUAUGGUCAUAGCAUAAUUUCUCAAUCUUUCAAGAGGAAAUAUCAAAAACAAGAUCCCAUAGAAUAACUUCCCAAUCAUUCUUGG